rnacentral:rRNA from 1 species
GUGCACGCUGGCGGUAGGCCUAACACAUGCAAGUCGAACGGCAGCACAGUAAGAGCUUGCUCUUACGGGUGGCGAGUGGCGGACGGGUGAGGAAUACAUCGGAAUCUACUUUUUCGUGGGGGAUAACGUAGGGAAACUUACGCUAAUACCGCAUACGACCUACGGGUGAAAGAAGGGGAUCUUCGGACCUUGCGCGAUUGAAUGAGCCGAUGUCGGAUUAGCUAGUUGGCGGGGUAAAGGCCCACCAAGGCGACGAUCCGUAGCUGGUCUGAGAGGAUGAUCAGCCACACUGGAACUGAGACACGGUCCAGACUCCUACGGGAGGCAGCAGUGGGGAAUAUUGGACAAUGGGCGCAAGCCUGAUCCAGCCAUACCGCGUGGGUGAAGAAGGCCUUCGGGUUGUAAAGCCCUUUUGUUGGGAAAGAAAAGCAGCAGGUUAAUACCCCGCUGUUCUGACGGUACCCAAAGAAUAAGCACCGGCUAACUUCGUG